rnacentral:tRNA from 1 species
GUUUUUAUAGUUUAUAUAAAACAUUGGUUUUGUAAAUCAAAAUUAUGAAAUUUCAUUAAAAACU